rnacentral:rRNA from 1 species
UACAGAGGUCCCGAGCGUUGUUCGGAUUCAUUGGGCGUAAAGGGUGCGUAGGUGGCAUGGUAAGUCGGGUGUGAAAUCUCAGGGCUCAACCCUGAAACUGCACUCGAUACUGUCGUGCUCGAGUACUGGAGAGGAGACUGGAAUUUACGGUGUAGCAGUGAAAUGCGUAGAUAUCGUAAGGAAGACCGGUGGCGAAAGCUAGUCUCUGGACAGUUACUGACACUGAGGCACGAAGGCCAGGGGAGCAAACAGG